CGUGCAGGCGGAUGGUUAAGUUACUUAUGAAAGCUCCUGGCUAAACUGGGAGAGGUUGAGUGAAACUGGUCAUCUAGAGUGGAUGAGAGGUGAAGAGAAUUCCUUGUGUAGUGGUGAAAUGCGUAGAUAUGAGGAAGAAUAUCGGUGGCGAAGGCGCUUCACUGGCAUCCAACUGACGCUCAGACGCGAAAGCAUGGGUAGCGAACG
rnacentral:rRNA from 1 species